CGGUGAAUAGCGCAGUUUGGUAGCGCAUCUGGUUUGGGACCAGAGGGUCGGGGGUUAGAAUCCCUCUUCACCGACCA
rnacentral:tRNA from 1 species